rnacentral:rRNA from 1 species
AUACGGAGGGUGCGAGCGUUAAUCGGAAUUACUGGGCGUAAAGCGUGCGUAGGCGGUUUGCUAAGUCAGAUGUGAAAGCCCCGGGCUUAACCUGGGAACUGCAUUUGAUACUGGCAGACUAGAGUAUGAUAGAGGGGGGUAGAAUUCCUGGUGUAGCGGUGAAAUGCGUAGAUAUCAGGAGGAAUACCAGUGGCGAAGGCGGCCCCCUGGAUCAAUACUGACGCUGAGGUACGAAAGCGUGGGGAGCGAGCAGGAUUAGAAACCCUAGUAGUCC